GACGAACGCUGGCGGCGUGCUUAACACAUGCAAGUCGAACGGAAAGGCCCUGCUUUUGUGGGGUGCUCGAGUGGCGAACGGGUGAGUAACACGUGAGUAACCUGCCCUUGACUUUGGGAUAACUUCAGGAAACUGGGGCUAAUACCGGAUAGGAGCUCCUGCUGCAUGGUGGGGGUUGGAAAGUUUCGGCGGUUGGGGAUGGACUCGCGGCUUAUCAGCUUGUUGGUGGGGUAGUGGCUUACCAAGGCUUUGACGGGUAGCCGGCCUGAGAGGGUGACCGGCCACAUUGGGACUGAGAUACGGCCCAGACUCCAACGGGAGGCAGCAGUGGGGAAUAUUGCACAAUGGGCGGAAGCCUGAUGCAGCAACGCCGCGUGCGGGAUGACGUCCUUCGGGUUGUAAACCGCUUUCGCCUGUGACGAAGCGUGAGUGACGGUAAUGGGUAAAGAAGCACCGGCUAACUACGUG
rnacentral:rRNA from 1 species